UAUUGGGCAAUGGGCGCAAGCCUGACCCAGCAACGCCGCGUGAAGGAAGAAGGCUCUCGGGUUGUAAACUUCUUUUGUCAGGGACGAAGCAAGUGACGGUACCUGACGAAUAAGCCACGNCCAACUACGUGCCAGCAGCCGCGGUAAUACGUAGGUGGCAAGCGUUAUCCGGAUUUACUGGGUGUAAAGGGCGUGUAGGCGGGAUGGUAAGUCAGAUGUGAAAACUAUGGGCUCAACCCAUAGCCUGCAUUUGAAACUGUACUUCUUGAGUACUGGAGAGGCAGGCGGAAUUCCGUGUGUAGCGGUGAAAUGCGUAGAUAUACGGAGGAACACCAGUGGCGAAGGCGGCCUGCUGGACAGCAACUGACGCUGAGGCGCGAAAGCGUGGGGAGCAAA
rnacentral:rRNA from 1 species